rnacentral:rRNA from 1 species
CACGGAGGAUGCAAGCGUUAUCCGGAAUGAUUGGGCGUAAAGCGUCCGCAGGUGGCUGUGUAAGUCUGCUGUCAAAGAGCGAAGCUCAACUUCGUAAAGGCAGUGGAAACUACACGGCUAGAGUGCGUUCGGGGCAGAGGGAAUUCCUGGUGUAGCGGUGAAAUGCGUAGAGAUCAGGAAGAACACCGGUGGCGAAGGCGCUCUGCUAGGCCGCAACUGACACUGAGGGACGAAAGCUAGGGGAGCGAAUGGG